CGCGCAAAUUCCGCGGUAAUUCCAGCUCCAGUAGCGUAUCUCAAAGUUGUUGCGCUUAAAACGCUCGUAGUUGGAUCACAAACUAUUCGUUGGUGCGUAAUGAUGUGUAUUAAUUUCGGAGAGUUGACUGCUGUGUCCUCACACAGUUGAUAAUUUGGAUAAUGCUAUUUAGUUGCGAUAAGCCAACGAGUAGUAAUUGCACGUAAGGAUAGGCACUAGCCUUGAGUGAGCUGGUGUUUGUGUCUUACGGAGUGUGCCUUGAGUAAAUCAGAGUGCUUAAAGCAGGCUUUACGCUUGAAUGUUAUAGCAUGGAACGAACAAUCGUGUAUGGUGUAUGCUGUAUAUGAUAAGUUAAACGUUGUUUGACAUCAUCAGCAUACGACACCGACCGCCAAUAACGGAUGUUGGUUCCGUAUUGGGGUAUUGAUUAAGAGGAGCAGUUGGGGGUAUUGGUAUUUGGCCGCGAGAGGUGAAAU
rnacentral:rRNA from 1 species